rnacentral:rRNA from 1 species
GACGAACGCUGGCGGCGUGCUUAACACAUGCCAGUCGAACGGAAAGGCCCUGCUUGCAGGGUACUCGAGUGGCGAACGGGUGAGUAACACGUGGGUGAUCUGCCCUGCACUUCGGGAUAAGCCUGGGAAACUGGGUCUAAUACCGGAUAGGAGCCAUUUUUAGUGUGAUGGUUGGAAAGUUUUUUCGGUGUAGGAUGAGCUCGCGGCCUAUCAGCUUGUUGGUGGGGUAAUGGCCUACCAAGGCGGCGACGGGUAGCCGGCCUGAGAGGGUGGACGGCCACAUUGAGACUGAGAUACGGCCCAGACUCCUACGGGAGGCAGCAGUGGGGAAUAUUGCACAAUGGGCGCAAGCCUGAUGCAGCGACGCCGCGUGGGGGAUGACGGCCUUCGGGUUGUAAACUCCUUUCGCUAGGGACGAAGCUUUUUGUGACGGUACCUAGAUAAGAAGCACCGGCUAACUACGUG